rnacentral:rRNA from 1 species
UGGCGGACGGGUGAGUAACGCGUGGGUAACCUGCCUUGUACUGGGGGAUAGCAGCUGGAAACGGCUGGUAAUACCGCAUAAGCGCACAAUGUUGCAUGACAUGGUGUGAAAAACUCCGGUGGUAUAAGAUGGACCCGCGUCUGAUUAGGUAGUUGGUGGGGUAACGGCCUACCAAGCCGACGAUCAGUAGCCGACCUGAGAGGGUGACCGGCCACAUUGGGACUGAGACACGGCCCAA